UUCAUCGAAGCUCAGCACUGGAUAGCCGAAUAACACUGUGAGGAUGUCUGUCUCUGUAAAGGAGCUGUGUGAAUUGAUGAAUGUUAACUAUGAUAGGGCUGUUAUUGAGGCGAUUGCGAGGGUCAACAAUGAGGAGGAAGAUUCACUUGAAAGUGACAGUUCUCAGACAGCUGCCAAUGAGGUGGUUAUAAUGUCAAGUUAUGGGGUCCACAUCGUUGAAGUCCCAAAAUGUGCAUGCAUCCUUCACAAAAGUAAUCCAUCUGGCUCCAGGGGGAUAAACAAAGGCCUUCUGAGGGUAAUCCGUGCGGUUUUGUCGUAAAAAUACAUAUUUAAAACUUUAUAAACGAAAAUAACUGGGCUACGUCCUACGUU
ensembl:lncRNA